CUGGCCUCUAGCGGACGCGUCCGUGAAGUGCAAAAGAGUUGCAAUGGCAACCAUAACAGAGUUGAAGAGCGAAUCAGGUCAGCCUGAAGUUCCCCUGGACUGGCAGUUCAUGGCCAAUGAGCUCAAUGUCGCUGUAGAUUCAAGUGCCAAAGCUGUGCCUCUGCUGUAUAGUUUGCUCCAUCAUUUCCUCAGCAGUAAGGAAGAGAGCAAAGGAAAACUCUUCCUAACAAGCUCCACAACAGUGCCUUCAAAAGAGCCACACAGUCAUGUGAAUGCAGAUACAUCAUAACACUAAUAGAUGUCUUCCAGUUUCUAAGAGGCAACAUUUGCUGGAGGAAAUCGUAUGAUCACAAUUAAUCUGUCAAGGCGCGAUUUCGGUGUUAAAGUGGCCAAAAUACUCUGUUCAGCUUACUCUGGUUUUAGAUAUUAAGUGCAUUUUAUUUGUUUUGUUUGUAUUAGUGGUAUCAGUUGUAUGGCUUGAUCCAAAGUGAUUCAGUUUGACUUCUCAGCUGCACAUCUGAAAUAAGGCACAAUGGGAUUACAAUGAUUUUUUAGGUACAAUAAUUUAUAAUAUAGCAAUUUUUCAACUCUCAAUGUAAAUAGUCUUGACAUUCAAUCAAAUGAUCUUUAAUUGUAUGUUUUUGUACCAUUUAAAAAAAUAAAAGCAAAAUAAAUUUUA